GACGAACGCUGGCGGCGUGCUUAACACAUGCAAGUCGAACGGAAAGGCCCUGCUUUUGUGGGGUGCUCGAGUGGCGAACGGGUGAGUAACACGUGAGUAACCUGCCCUUGACUUUGGGAUAACUUCAGGAAACUGGGGCUAAUACCGGAUAGGAGCUCCUGCUGCAUGGUGGGGGUUGGAAAGUUUCGGCGGUUGGGGAUGGACUCGCGGCUUAUCAGCUUGUUGGUGGGGUAGUGGCUUACCAAGGCUUUGACGGGUAGCCGGCCUGAGAGGGUGACCGGCCACAUUGGGACUGAGGUACGGCCCAGACUCCUACGGGAGGCAGCAGUGGGGAGUAUUGCACAAUGGGCGGAAGCCUGAUGCAGCAACGCCGGGUGCGGGAUGACGGCCUUCGGGUUGUAAACCGCUUUCGCCUGUGACGAAGCGUGAGUGACGGUAAUGGGUAAAGAAGCACCGGCUAACUACGUG
rnacentral:rRNA from 1 species